UUUGACUUAAAACACUUUCACCUUUCUGUAACAGUCAUGUAUAAAGGUUGCUCUUGACUUUGUGUCUCCUGAAAAUCUUCACGAGUGCAUCCGUCUGACUGAAGAGUUCCGCACUCUUCCCCAAAAUCACAGAGCCAAGGAGGACAAGUUGGAGGUGAAGAAAAUGAGUAUUUAUGCAAUGAGAGAAGCUCUAAAAUGCUUGGAAGAAGUUGCAAAGGAUUCCAUCGAUAAGGGUGAGAACAAAAAAUCAGAAAAUGAUAGAGCUCAGAACGAUGAUAGAGAAAAUUCAGCAGACGAUCAUGAUGAUUCAAAAGAUGAGUAGAUGAGACAAGAUUCAAUAGCCCAAAGGAGGAUUUUGAAAUGGAUUGACAAAGGCUCUAAGUGAAGAUGCCCUUUUUGGAUUAUGCCUGCAUAUGAUUAUCUAACUUAAGAUGUAUCUAAUAGUUAAUCUCUUUGGCGUGUAGGCUCUUUGUUCUAACCUGACCCAUGUUUGUUAGUUUAGUUUUGGGGUUUUCUAUGUGCAUUUCAAGUUUAUUGUGUUAGUAAUUCAAUGAAAACGGUACGUACAAGUUUUGGUUUGUCUAUCUAGUCCUUGCGUUUCGUCUGA